CUCCCGGCCUGUGCACCAGGCUUACUGUCUUUGUUACCUCUUUAUUUCCACCCCUUAUUCCUAGCCCCUCCUUCCCCACUGCUGACAUAACAGCAUGAAAUUAAACCUAUUCCAGUCUGUGACAUCUGAUCCCUUUGACAUGACAUAGUACAACCUGUAGAGCCAGAGGUGGGGGCCAGGAAGCCCUGUUCUAGUCUCUCUCUGCACAACCUUGAGCCAGUCACAUCUGCCUGAACCUCAGUCUCCCACUCUGGACGUUGUCGGGGUGAUGGAGCAAGCAUUCAGUUAUUCUCUGCUGGAUUCUGAUGUGGUCUAAAGUCCACACUUUGUUGUGAAACACCGCAAUCUGUGAUGUACAGAACCUAUUACUGCGGCCACCCAGGAAUGCAGGGGGCAGGCCUUUGAGAAGAUGAAUCAGCGUGUGUUAGCUCAGGGCAGAGGGCCUGGCGGUGAGACGUGAGACCAGCCAAUGUCAUGGCGGUGGGGGAGUGGAUGUGAGCCAUCUGGGGCCCAGCAAACAGCAUGUUGAAAAAAACGAGGAACUCAAAGGCAGAUGAGCCUACCACGCUGGGAACGGUUGGGAGUACAUUGCUCAAGGGCUUGGACUGGAGGGGGUGGAGUUGAGGAGAUCACAGAGGACCUAGGAGUGUGUGUAUCGGAGAGAGAUAGGAAACCACUGACCAUUCAGCACACAUUCAGAAUUACUGCCUGUCCCAGGGAGGGAUCCACAGCUCCGGCACUUUGUCUGUUCAGCAUCUGGAAGAGCAUAGCUCGCUGUGAGCGGCUGACCCAGAAGACUGUAUCCCACCCAGCCAGCUCUCCUGCCUACUUGCCUCUGCCCCACACCAGGACACUUCAUACUGUCAGAACCACUGGGUGUGUGAGCUUGUGAGAGGGUGUGUGGGCACACACGUCCCUGUGUGGGGUGUGGAGGUCAGAGGGCAACUUGGAGGAAUUGGUUCUCUCCUUCCACCACUCGGGGCCCAGGAAUCAAGCUGAGGUUUCCAGGCUUGGCAGCCUCCCUUACCUGUUAAACCAGUGCUUCCCAGCCUUCCUAAUGCUGUGACCUCAUGUUGUGCGGACCCCCGCCCAUGACAUUAUCUCUGUUGGUAUUUUAUAACUGUAAUUUUGCUACUAUUAUGAAUCACAAUGUAAAUGUCUGUUUUCCGAUGGUCUCGG
rnacentral:lncRNA from 1 species